AAAAUGUGUUGGUCUUUUAGCUCUUUUGUAAUUAAUUCUGGAUGUACCUCAGAAGAUUCUUAUGACUGUGGUGAUAAGAUGCUUUCCUC
rfam:Camelus ferus unplaced genomic scaffold scaffold760, whole genome shotgun sequence.